CAUGCGAGAAGCGCCGACCUCGCGGGAGGCGUGCAUUUAUCAGACCAAAAACCGGGCCGCGUCUUCGGGCGCGUUCGCCUUGGUGACUCUGGAUAACUUUGCGGAUCGCACGGUCUAGCACCGGCGACGGAUCAUUCAAGUGUCUGCCCUAUCAACUUUCGUCGGUACGGUAUUUGCCUACCGAGGUUCUUACGGGUGACGGGGAAUCAGGGUUCGAUUCCGGAGAGGGAGCCUGAGAAACGGCUACCACAUCCAAGGAAGGCAGCAGGCGCGCAAAUUACCCAUUCCCGACGCGGGGAGGUAGUGACGAAAAAUAACAAUGCAGGACUCGUUCGAGGCCCUGUAAUUGGAAUGAGUACACUUUAAAAGCUUUAACGAGUAUCCAUUGGAGGGCAAGUCUGGUGCCAGCAGCCGCGGUAAUUCCAGCUCCAAAAGUAUAUAUUUAAGUUGUUGCGGUUAAAAAGCUCGUAGUUGGAUUUUGGGCGCAGGCGGCCGGUCCGUCGCAAGGCGUGUACUGGACGUCCUGGCCUUCCCUCCGGUUCUCCGCCGGUGCUCUUGACUGAGUGUCGGCGGCGGCCGGAACGUUUACUUUGAAAAAAUUAGAGUGUUCAAAGCAGGCUCUCGAGCCUGGAUAAUGGUGCAUGGAAUAAUGGAAUAGGACCUCGGUUAUAUUUUGUUGGUUUUCGGAGCGCGAGGUAAUGAUUAAGAGGGACAGACGGGGGCAUUCGUACUGUGCCGUUAGAGGUGAAAUUCUUGGAUCGGCGCAAGACGAACGACUGCGAAAGCAUUUGCCAAGAAUGUUUUCUUUAAUCAAGAGCGAAAGUCAGAGGUUCGAAGACGAUCAGAUACCGUCCUAGUUCUGACUAUAAACGAUGCCAACUAGCGAUCGGGGGGCGUUACAUUGACGACCCCUCCCGGCAGCUUACGGGAAACCAAAGUCUUUGGGUUCCGGGGGAAGUAUGGUUGCAAAGCUGAAACUUAAAGGAAUUGACGGAAGGGCACCACCAGGAGUGGAGCCUGCGGCUUAAUUUGACUCAACACGGGAAAUCUCACCCGGCCCGGACACAGUGAGGAUUGACAGAUUGAGAGCUCUUUCUUGAUUCUGUGGGUGGUGGUGCAUGGCCGUUCUUAGUUGGUGGAGCGAUUUGUCUGGUUAAUUCCGAUAACGAACGAGAUCUGGCUUGCUAAAUAGUGACU
rfam:Ciona savignyi cont_42625, whole genome shotgun sequence.